CCUACGGGAGGCAGCAGUAAGGAAUAUUGGACAAUGGUGGCAACACUGAUCCAGCCAUGCCGCGUGCAGGAUGAAGGUUCUAUGAAUUGUAAACUGCUUUUGUACGGGAAUAAACUUAGCUACGUGUAGCUAACUGAAUGUACCGUAAGAAUAAGGAUCGGCUAACUUCGUGCCAGCAGCCGCGGUAAGACGAAGGAUCCAAGCGUUAUCCGGAUUUAUUGGGUUUAAAGGGUGCGUAGGCGGGAUUGUAAGUCAGUGGUGAAAUCCCAUCGCUUAACGAUGGAAUUGCCAUUGAUACUGCAAACCUUGAAUAUAUUUGAAGUGGGCGGAAUGUGCAGUGUAGCGGUGAAAUGCUUAGAUAUUGCACAGAACACCGAUUGCGAAGGCAGCUCACUAAACUAUAAUUGACGCUGAGGCACGAAAGCGUGGGGAGCAAACAGGAUUAGAUACCCUGGUAGUC
rnacentral:rRNA from 1 species